rnacentral:rRNA from 1 species
AUUGAACGCUGGCGGCAGGCUUAACACAUGCAAGUCGAGCGGGGUGAUGGUGCUUGCACUAUCACUUAGCGGCGGACGGGUGAGUAAUGCUUAGGAAUCUGCCUAUUAGUGGGGGACAACAUCUCGAAAGGGAUGCUAAUACCGCAUACGUCCUACGGGAGAAAGCAGGGGAUCACUUGUGACCUUGCGCUAAUAGAUGAGCCUAAGUCGGAUUAGCUAGUUGGUGGGGUAAAGGCCUACCAAGGCGACGAUCUGUAGCGGGUCUGAGAGGAUGGUCCCCCACACGGGGGCUGAGACAAGGCCCAGACUCCUACUGGAGGCAGCAGUUGGGAAUAUUGGAUAAUGGGGGGAACCCUGAUCCAGCCAUGCCGCGUGUGUGAAGAAGGCCUUAUGGUUGUAAAGCACUUUAAGCGAGGAGGAGGCUCUUUUGGUUAAUACCCAAGAUGAGUGGACGUUACUCGCAGAAUAAGCACCGGCUAACUCUGUGCCAGCAGCCGCCGUAA